rnacentral:misc_RNA from 1 species
AACCCACUUUGAUAGUAGCUUGAAAUGUCUUGCAAAGAAGUCUUGUAGAGCGAGGUACCAACACUUCCAGCAUAGCGAUGUAGAAUCUUUCUUACUAUCAACGAAUGGUGCUUUAAAAAAAUAAUCCUCGCAGUUCAUAGCGUAGCUGACUCGACGUGUGAUCGAAUAGUCGCUGAGAGAUUCAAACUCCUAUCAUAAUCAAACUUUCAUCUUCUAAUCUCGUCACUACCAAAAAUACAGACACAAUGAAAACAAUAUCUGCAUCACUUGUACCCUGUACCUGCAUUCCAACAAAGGUUACAAGCUUCUUACAUGGCAUUUUCUUCAUUUAACACAACUUUAAUAUGCAUUCAAGCUUGACAUUUUAGUACACCCCCGAAGACGGUAUUCUCUUGUGUUCUCUGCAACAGUUUUUCAUCAACACAGUUGUUUCUUUUAUGUUGUAUACAAAGAUACAAAUAAAACCUAGGGGAAACUUGGAAGAAUGAGUCAAAUCCCGCAGCACGUAGUAA